rnacentral:tRNA from 1 species
ACUAUUUUGGCAGAUAAGUGCAGUAGAUUUAGAAUCUAUAAAUAUAAUAUAAUGAAUUGUAAAUAGUA